GAUGAAGAACGUAGCGAAAUGCGAUACGUAAUGUGAAUUGCAGAAUUCAGUGAAUCAUCGAGUCUUUGAACGCACAUUGCGCCCUCUGGUAUUCCGGAGGGCAUGCCUGUCCGAGCGUCAUUGCUGCCCUCAAGCACGGCUUGUGUGUUGGGCUCCGUCCCCCGAUCCCGGGGGACGGGCCCGAAAGGCAGCGGCGGCACCGCGUCCGGUCCUCGAGCGUAUGGGGCUUUGUUACCCGCUCUGUAGGCCCGGCCGGCGCUUGCCGAUCAACCAAAUUUUUAUCCAGGUUGACCUCGGAUCAGGUAGGGAUACCCGCUGAACUUAAGCAUAUCAAUAAGCGGAGGA
rnacentral:misc_RNA from 1 species